rnacentral:rRNA from 1 species
UACGUAGGGUGCAAGCGUUGUCCGGAAUUAUUGGGCGUAAAGAGCUUGUAGGCGGUUUGUCGCGUCUGCUGUGAAAUUCCGGGGCUCAACCCCGAACUUGCAGUGGGUACGGGCAGACUAGAGUGUGGUAGGGGAGACUGGAAUUCCUGGUGUAGCGGUGAAAUGCGCAGAUAUCAGGAGGAACACCGAUGGCGAAGGCAGGUCUCUGGGCCAUAACUGACGCUGAGAAGCGAAAGCGUGGGGAGCGAACAGG